UACAGAGGUGGCAAGCGUUGUUCGGAAUUACUGGGCGUAAAGGGCGCGUAGGCGGCCUUCUAAGUCAGACGUGAAAUCCCCCGGCUUAACCGGGGAACUGCGUCCGAUACUGGUUGGCUUGAGUUUGGGAGAGGGAUGCGGAAUUCCAGGUGUAGCGGUGAAAUGCGUAGAUAUCUGGAGGAACACCGGUGGCGAAGGCGGCAUCCUGGACCAAUACUGACGCUGAGGAGCGAAAGCCAGGGGAGCAAACGGG
rnacentral:rRNA from 1 species